rnacentral:lncRNA from 1 species
GAGAAAUACAAAGCAGGGGAGAGGAAUGAGCUCUCAGGUUGCUGAUGGCUCUUCCAAUUGCACAGAAAUUUACUUCUGUAUUUUCUCUUGGCACCAAAUCCUGCAGGUCUGUAAACACAAAUAGCAACAGAUCUUUCCAUCCUGCACGGGCAGUGAGUUCAGCAGCAGUUCAGUUGCAUAAGGAGCUUGGGACACGCUGGGAGAUGAUUGUGCAGAAACGGGGAUGA